rnacentral:rRNA from 1 species
AACAGGAUUAGAUACCCUGGUAGUCCACGCUGUAAACGAUGCUAACUCGUUUUUGGGGAUUUAUCUUCAGAGACUAAGCGAAAGUGAUAAGUUAGCCACCUGGGGAGUACGAACGCAAGUUUGAAACUCAAAGGAAUUGACGGGGGCCCGCACAAGCGGUGGAUUAUGUGGUUUAAUUCGAUGAUACGCGAGGAACCUUACCAAGGCUUAAAUGGGAAUUGAUCGGUUUAGAAAUAGACCUUCCUUCGGGCAAUUUUCAAGGUGCUGCAUGGUUGUCGUCAGCUCGUGCCGUGAGGUGUUAGGUUAAGUCCUGCAACGAGCGCAACCCCUGUCACUAGUUGCCAUCAUUCAGUUGGGGACUCUAGUGAGACUGCCUACGCAAGUAGAGAGGAAGGUGGGGAUGACGUCAAAUCAUCACGGCCCUUACGCCUUGGGCCACACACGUAAUACAAUGGCCGGUACAGAGGGCAGCUACACAGCGAUGUGAUGCAAAUCUCGAAAGCCGGUCUCAGUUCGGAUUGGAGUCUGCAACUCGACUCUAUGAAGCUGGAAUCGCUAGUAAUCGCGCAUCAGCCAUGGCGCGGUGAAUACGUUCCCGGGCCUUGUACACACCGCCCGUCAAGCCAUGGAAGUCUGGGGUACCUGAAGUCGGUGACCGUAAAAGGAGCUGCCUAGGGUAAAACAGGUAACUAGGGCUAAGUCGUAACAAGGUAGCCGUA